rnacentral:rRNA from 1 species
GUCUCUUUGGAAAUAAGUAUAUAAAGAGUCGAACCUGCCCGGUGACUAUAUUGUUAAACGGCCGCGGUACCCUAACCGUGCAAAGGUAGCAUAAUCAUUUGCCUUUUAAUUGGAGGCUGGUAUGAAUGGUUUGACGAGAGCUAUGCUGUCUCUUUUAAAAUAUUUAAAAAUUAACUUUUAGGUGAAGAGGCCUAAAUUUAUUUAAGGGACAAGAAGACCCUGUUGAGCUUUAGUGAUGUUGUAAACGAUGAAGAAUAAGUUAUUAUUGAUUUGUUGUGUAUUUAUUAUAAUAAAAGUUUGCAGAUAAUCUUUAGUUGGGGCGACUGAGGAACAUAAAAAGCUUCCUUGUAUAUAAACUAUUUAAGUAAUUGAAUAAAUUAAUGCUUAUGUGUUAUUUUGAUCCAAAUUAUUUUGAUUAAGAGAAAAAGUUACCACAGGGAUAACAGCGUAAUCUUUCUGGAGAGAUCUUAUCGAAAGAAGGGUUUGCGACCUCGAUGUUGGACUAAGAUAUCCUAAGGGUGUAGAAGUUCUUAAAGGUUGGUCUGUUCGACCAUUAAAAUCUU